UUAUUUUGGCAGAUUAGUGCAAUGAAUUUAGAUUUCAUAAAUAUAAUUUUAUUAUAAAUAAUA
rnacentral:tRNA from 4 species